rnacentral:rRNA from 1 species
AUGGCUGAGAUCGCCGCAUCUGGAGGCAGCGCCGGCCGCAUCGGGCUGCAGAGUUUGGAUUGGCCUCUGCCUCGCGCAGAGAAGAUGCAGUUUUGGAUAUUAAUUUUCAUCUUCUUGUCUCAACACUUCCUCUCAUCUUGCCUUGAUCUCUAUGUUUGCAGAUUUUCUGUUCGGAGUGAUGUCGUUCUCGCCUCUCGGAAGAAGCGUGCCUUUUUCUGGUACAAAGCAAUUCGCAUGAGUGCAUACAUACGCGGAAUUGCUUUGAGCGUUCGGUGCUGCGUCCUGCAGCCGACGGCCGGUAGCAGCGCUACGAGCGCUCGGGAGGGCGAAGCCGCGCAGGGUCGGGAGCCGUCGCGCGCUGGGAGUCACCGGACCGGUGGGGAGCCGUAUGCAGAAGGUUCCAUUGGAGGGCGCCACUGCGUCGUGCACAAAGAGCGCCGCUUCGAUCCUAAAAGUCGCGUUCUUCUCGCCAUUGUUGAAGCGGUUGCCGCUGAUGGGAUUACACAUCACCGUUCUCUUUUUUCUCUAUUUGGAAUGCUUGCUGAUUCAGGGAAAAUACAAUCGGUCAAUGAAUCAGUGAUGCUAAUCAUAAAUAGACAAUCAAGUUGGCUCUCUCUCGAUGGAUUUCUUGUAUGCAUGCAUCGUAGAUGCAUGUUCGUCUUUUCCAUGGAUGGUGUGCUAGAGCCGGCCGAUUGCCAGGACCAGGCUGCGUGCCGACUGAGAGCCGCGGCAUGGCAGAGGGCACGCCGGGGUUGUCUUGUUCGCCUCGGUUGCCGUGAGGGCAAGCACGCCAUGCUGAAGGCUGCAUCGCCGCCGUAUGAGGUCGUGACAUGCUUCGUGCGCGGACAACGCAACGCAACGCAAACAGUCUCACCGUUGCUGCUGGCCAGUAGUGAUGACAGCAGCGACACGUCACUGUGUACGGACUGUCAACGGUCAACGUUUAUCAAACGCUCACCUCCCCUGAGCCCACCUCUCUCUCCGCUGCUGCCGAUGGCCACUCUGGCCCCGGCGCCUACUCCCCACAUGCCCGCCGAUGACCACUCUGCCAGUGGUCUCAGGCUUAGGCCUCACCGUCUCGGCGAACUCCCCGCGCUUUUCUACCGGGGCACAUCGCUCAAAUCCAUAGGGAGGCGCCGCCUACAGCUGCGACACGGGAUGAGGGGUGGCGGGGACCGGGUCCGUCGCGCAAGGCGCUCUGGCGGCGUUGCCGCACGCUUCGGCGCCAGCAGGAGGCUGGCCCGUAUGGCUGCCGUCGGCGUCGUCGUCUUCUCAGGAGCGCCGGGAGGUGCUGCCGGACCUUGUGGGGUUGUGUUUCAAAAGCUCCUAGGAUGGCCAUCUCAAGAAGGACCUAGUGCGGUUAAAAAGGAUCAAGCAAUCACCAUCAUGGCUAGUCCCUUCUUGUUUUCCGUGUCAGGCAAGGGGAAAAAGGGCCAGGUCUACCCACGGAAAACAAGGACAUGGCUUCAAACGAAGAAUUUGGGUCGAUAUCUUUUUCGUGAGGAAAUCGCAAAGGAAAACAAGGACGGUAAUACCGAUGGCGACAAGUCAGUUAGAUCACGGCUCUACAUGGCGCCGAGGCUCACCAAGUUUCAUGUGAAGAAAUUCGAUGGCACAGGUAACUAUGGUCUAUGGCAAACAAGAGUCAAGGAUCUUCUGGCGCAACAUGAAAUCUCGAAGGGUUUGCAGGAGACAAAGCCAACCAAGGUUGACGACGAUGCGUGGGAGGAUAUGCAAGUGCAAGCGACCACCACCAUACGGCUUUGUCUUGCAGAUCAAGUCAUGUAUCAUGUCAUGGAGGAAGGUUCUCCUAAGGAAAUUUGA